rnacentral:rRNA from 1 species
CUGCAACCCGCCUGCAUGAAGUCGGAAUUGCUAGUAAUCGCGGAUCAGCAUGCCGCGGUGAAUACGUUCCCGGGCCUUGUACACACCGCCCGUCACACCAUGGGAGCCGGUAAUACCCGAAGUCAGUAGUCCAACCACGUGAGGACGCUGCCGAAGGUAGGAUUGGCGACUGGGGUGAAGUCGUAACAAGGUACC